GGACUACCCGGGUAUCUAAUCCUGUUCGCUCCCCCAGCUUUCGCACCUGAGCGUCAGACACCAGCCAGGACACUGCCUUCGCCUUUGGUAUUCCUCCGGAUAUCUACGCAUUUCACCACUCCACCCGGAAUUCUAUGUCCCUCUCUGGUCCUCAAGUCGGGCAGUCUUUGCCAGCCUUGCCCGGUUAAGCCGGGCACUGUCACGGCAAACUCACCCAACCGCCUGCGUGCGCUUUACGCCCAGUAACUCCGGACAACGCUUGCCCCCUACGUAUUACCGCGGCGGCUGGCAC
rnacentral:rRNA from 1 species